rnacentral:lncRNA from 1 species
AUCCGCGCAGUCUGGUAAGGAUUCAUGCUGUUCGCUAACGGUUUCUCUUACUGCACUAUGUUGAUUUUCUCUUGGUGCGGCUCAGAUUAUUUAAAGUCGGUAAGAUAACAAACAAGUUCAACAUAAGCUCAUGUGAGCUUUUGUACCGGAUACAGAAUAACUUAUAGUAUAUAUUAAAACAAAUGUUUGAAAAAAUUACUUUGAUAGCUGAAAUUGCAAGUGAGACAUUUACAUGGAACAAAAUCUUUUUUUAUUUUUGCAGUUUUCCAGGUUACAUGGAGACAUUUAGCGAAUACCGAUGACAGAUGUGUUUUCAUAUUUGGAACAUCUCUAAAGGCAUAUAACAUAGAAUAUCGUACAUACAGAACGCUAACUGGCGUGCUUUCAGAUUUGGAGCAUAUUGGGCGUUUUGUGUCAUAGCGGCAACGAUCAGAACCAUACAAUGAUACUUACAGAUCGUAGAUGGACGUGUUUUCAGAUUUGGAGCAUAUCAGGUUGCGUUUUAGUGGCAAAGAUCAAGAACAUACACACAGAUCACGGACGAAAGUGUAUCAGGUCUGGAUCAUGUAUGCAGAGUAUGUGUUCAUAUUUUCUUUGUCUGGAAUUUCUAAGGUACCACUAGAACUUAUAUCUGUUCCUGUUCUUUCACAUGCCUUCAUGUACAGGGUUACCAUGGAAACAUACAUCUACAGCUAGGCAAUGACGACAUGCAGAUCCGCAAAGGUAUACAGCAGAUUUUAGAGCAUAAAAGAUGUGUAUAUUUACAUUUCCUUUCUUAAGGCAGCAGUAUAUGUUUGUUUCUGUAGUUUACACAUGCCGUUCUGUAUCUAUACACCCAACAGGGUUACCAUGGAAACAUACAUCUACAUCAAGGCAAUGGCAUAAAUGGAUGACAGACCUUCAGAAUCAGAAAUAAGUUAUACAGCAGAUUUGGAUCAUAUAGGGUGUGUAUGUUUAUUUCUUCUUGUGGCAACACUUUUUGGUACAUUUGUUUUUCUUUUUACACAUGCCUUUCUGUGUCUGGACACUCAACAGGGUUACCAUUGAAACGUACCUCUACAUCUAGGCAAUGGUAUAAAUGGAAUAUCGGCGUUCAGAUGUUCAAAGUUAUAGAGCAGAUUUUGGAUCAUAUAGGGUGUGUAUGUUUACUUGUUCUUUCUUGUGGCAACACUUUUUGGUACAUUUGUUUUUCUUUUUACACAUGCCUUUCUGUGUCUGGACACUCAACAGGGUUACCAUGGAAACGUACCUCUACAUCUAGGCAAUGGUAUAAACGGAUGACCGGCGUUCAGAUGUACAAAGUUAUAGAGCAGAUUUUGGAUCAUAUAGGGUGUGUAUGUUUACUUGUUCUUUCUUGUGGCAACACUUUUUGGUACAUUUGUUUUUCUUUUUACACAUGCCUUUCUGUGUCUGGACACUCAACAGGGUUACCAUGGAAACGUACCUCUACAUCUAGGCAAUGGUAUAAACGGAUGACCGGCGUUCAGAUGUACAAAGUUAUACAGCAGAUUUGGAUCAUAUAGGGUGUGUAUGUUUAUUUCUUCUUGUGGCAACACUUUUUGGUACAUUUGUUUUUCUUUUUACACAUGCCUUUCUGUGUCUGGACACUCAACAGGGUUACCAUGGAAACGUACCUCUACAUCUAGGCAAUGGUAUAAAUGGAAUAUCGGCGUUCAGAUGUACAAAGUUAUAGAGCAGAUUUUGGAUCAUAUAGGGUGUGUAUGUUUACUUGUUCUUUCUUGUGAAAACACUUUCUGAUAUAUUUGUUUUUCUUUUUACACAUGCUUUUAUGUAUCUAUACACUAAACAGGGUUACCAUGGAAACUUACAUCUACAUCUAGGCAAUGGUAUAAUUGGAUGACCGGCGUUCAAAUGUACAAAGUUAUAGAGCAGAUUUUUGAUCAUAUAGGGUGUGUAUGUUUACUUGUUCUUUCUUGUGGCAACACUUUUUGGUACAUUUGUUUUUCUUUUUACACAUGCCUUACUAUGUCUGGACAUUCAACAGGGUUACCAUGGAAACGUACCUCUACAUCUAGGCAAUGGUAUAAUUGGAUGACCGGCGUUCAGAUGUACAAAGUUAUAGAGCAGAUUUUGGAUCAUAUAGGGUGUGUAUGUUUACUAGUUCUUUCUUGUGGCAACACUUUUCUGAUACA